GAAGUUGUGAGUGCAAAAUGUAUUCCUUAUGCAGAUAGCUAAAAGGAUUUAUCCAUACAUCAUAUUCAUAUAUGUAUAGAUUUUUAAAGAAACUCCUAUUUCUGAAUAUUAGUGAAAGUAGAGAUCAUUCUUUCCUUUUUUACACAACUUUGUGACAACAGAAAUAUUAAUAAACUCUUUUCUAGCUCAAGUUCUACGGUUACAGGAGCAGUUGUACUGAUUUCUUAUACCCUUUCAUUGCUUUUUACCUUGGAGCACUCUGAAAGACAUUGCUGUGAGUUUGCUAGCCCAGCAGAGGGUUUGCAUUCACAGGGGAUUUGCAGCAGUGCAUGUCCUGGGGGUGGCUGCCCCCCUGUCACCAGCAGUGCUGAAGCGGGACACAGUGCUCUGGAAGUGUGACCACUUAAUAAAAGGAUGCCAUCUGGUACCUCUCAUGCCCAGGACUGCAGUCAGCAGAGCAUGCACGAUGGAGUCAUCUGCAAGUUGCCAGUCAGAAGAACAAUUUUCCAGAUAUUCCAGAAUCUCGGAUGUCCUGGAACAGAUUAAAACCUUGCUGCUGGAGGAACUUAGCUAAUUCCAGGAAUCUGUACCUUAAAUGGAAAUGAGCAGAAUUUAUCUGGUAUCAUCAGUGAUGAAGUUACCUGGUACGUUACCUUCUACUGUGCACAGUGAACUGCUGGAUGCUUCAAUGGAAAAGGAGCCUGACUCCUCAUUUAGCACCAGAUAUAGGAAUGCUCAGGAUUCACGCUUUCAUCUAGAUGAACACAUGGGCUAUCUAACCUGUCUUUUAAAAUGUUGCUGCAUAUCAGAGGUUGAAGAGAUUGAUGAAAAGACAACAACAAUACAAAACCCAUUUGUAUAUUCAAAGUGUGAUGAUGUUCCAUUUAUGGAAAAGCUCCCAACCUUAGUGUAG
rnacentral:lncRNA from 1 species